rnacentral:rRNA from 1 species
GACAAACGCUGGCGGCGUGCUUAACACAUGCAAGUCGAGCGGUAAGGCCCCUUCGGGGGUCCCCGAGCGGCGAACGGGUGAGUAACACGUGAGCAAUCUGCCCAUCACAUCGGGAUAACUCCGGGAAACCGAAGCUAAUACCGAAUACGACCACCUCCGGCAUCGGAUGGUGGUGGAAAGUUCCGGCGGUGAUGGAUGAGCUCGCGGCCUAUCAGCUUGUUGGUGGGGUAACGGCCCACCAAGGCUUCGACGGGUAGCCGGCCUGAGAGGGUGACCGGCCACACUGGGACUGAGACACGGCCCAGACUCCUACGGGAGGCGGCAGUGGGGAAUAUUGGACAAUGGGCGAAAGCCUGAUCCAGCAACGCCGCGUGAGGGAUGACGGCCUUCGGGUUGUAAACCUCUUUCAGCAGGGACGAAGCGCAAGUGACGGUACCUGCAGAAGAAGCACCGGCCAACUACGUG